rnacentral:rRNA from 1 species
GUGAUAGCUGGUUCUCCCCGAAAUAUAUUGAGGUAUAGCCUUGCGGAUUGUCUUAUGGAGGUAAAGCUCUGACAGAACUAGGGGUCCUAUCCGACUACCGAAUUCUUUCAAACUCUGAAUACCAUUAAGAUCUACCGCAGGAGUCAGACGGCGGGUGCUAAGGUUCGUCGUCAAAAGGGCAACAGCCCAGACCGACAGCUAAGGCCUCCAAAUGCAUGCUCAGUGGUUAAGGUGGUGGCGUUGUGCAGACACCCAGGACGUUGGCUUAGAAGCAGCCAUCGUUUAAAGAAAGCGUAAUAGCUCACUGGUUCAAUGGCGCUGCGCCGAAAAUGUAACGGGGCUAAGCAUGCUGCCGAAGCUUCGGAUUUGUCUCUGACAACUGGUAGGGGAGCGUUCUCUGCGGGCUGAAGCGGAACCGAAAGGUUUCGUGGACUGCAGAGAAGUGAUUAUGCUGACAUGAGUAACGAUAAAAUAUGUGAAAAACAUAUUCGCCGUAAAUCCAAGGUUUCCUGGGUAAAGGUAAUCUUCCCAGGGUUAGUCGGACCCUAAGGCCAGGCUGAAAGGCGUAGCUGAUGGGAAACGGGUUAAUAAUCCUGUACUUGUGCGAUUGUGCGAAGAAGGGACGCAGGAUGGUAGACAGGCCGGUUUUUGGAAUCCGGUGCAAGUGUGUAGGUAUGCUCCGCAGGCAAAUCCGCGGGGAUGAGCCGAGACACGAGUCCGUGGGCGUAAGCCCUGAAGCUGUUGAGCCACGGCUGCCAAGAAAAGCUUCUAAGUUUAGAUCGCGCGAACCGUACCGCAAACCAACUCAGGUGGAUGGGAUGAAUAAUCCAAGGCGCUCGAGAGAACUCUGGCCAAGGAACUCGGCAAAUUGACCCCGUACCUUCGGAAUAAGGGGUGCUCCCCACGGUGAGACAAAUUCUUGUUCAGCCCCGGGGAGCCGCAGAGAAAUGGUGGUGGCGACUGUUUACUAAAAACAUAGGUCUGUGCGAAGUCCUACAGACGACGUAUACGGACUGACGCCUGCCCGGUGCCGGAAGGUUAAAAGGAGGAGUCAGCGCAAGCGAAGCUCCGAUUUGAAGCCCCGGUAAACGGCGGCCGUAACUAUAACGGUCCUAAGGUAGCGAAAUUCCUUGUCGGGCAAGUUCCGACCUGCACGAAUGGCGUAACGAUCUCCACGCUGUCUCGGCCAGAGACUCGGUGAAAUUGAAGUCGCGGUGAAAAUGCCGUGUACCCGCAGAAAGACGGAAAGACCCUGUGCACCUUUACUAUAGCUUGACAUUGGGUUUUGAACCUGCAUGUGUAGGAUAGGUGGGAGGCUGUGAAAGCUGUACGCCAGUAUGGCCGGAGCCACCCGUGAAAUACCACCCUUGUUUGUUCAGGACCCUAACUCGCAGCUGUAAUCCAGCGCGAAGACAGUGUCUGGUGGGUAGUUUGACUGGGGCGGUCGCCUCCUAAAGAGUAACGGAGGCAUGCAAAGGUUCCCUCAGGCUGAUUGGAAACCAGCCGUUGAGUGCAAGCGCAUAAGGGAGCCUGACUGCAAGAGAGACAUCUCGAACAGAUACGAAAGUAGGUGCUAGUGAUCCGGUGGUCCCGAAUGGAAGGGCCAUCGCUCAUU